rnacentral:misc_RNA from 1 species
AAGUCGUAACAAGGUUUCCGUAGGUGAACCUGCGGAAGGAUCAUUAACACGUAUCCAACGUUAAACAACCCUGUGAACUUUCAAACGCUCUUGUAGCCCAGGCGGAACAGCAAUCCCGGUAAAUCAAUGGCGGAAAAGUUUUGAUUCGGGACCUCUGUCCAAAAGGUAUCAAGUUACAAUCGAGCUAGGAGCAGUGGCAUGUUUUCCCUAAGCAGUGCAGAAGGAUCCACUGAGUAAGGCUUCACGGUUGCCAGAGGUCGAUCACCGCGGCAGACAUGUCACAGCCGCGGAAACGCCGGGCACAAAAACUGAACAACUGUUAACAAUGGAUAUCUUGGUUCUC